rnacentral:rRNA from 1 species
AGGAUUAACGCUGGCGGCGUGCCUAACACAUGCAAGUCGAACGAGGUAGCAAUACCUAGUGGCAGACGGGUGAGUAACGCGUGGGAACGUACCUUUUGGUUCGGAACAACACAGGGAAACUUGUGCUAAUACCGGAUAAGCCCUUACGGGGAAAGAUUUAUCGCCAAAAGAUCGGCCCGCGUCUGAUUAGCUAGUUGGUGAGGUAACGGCUCACCAAGGCGACGAUCAGUAGCUGGUCUGAGAGGAUGAUCAGCCACAUUGGGACUGAGACACGGCCCAAACUCCUACGGGAGGCAGCAGUGGGGAAUAUUGGACAAUGGGCGCAAGCCUGAUCCAGCCAUGCCGCGUGAGUGAUGAAGGCCCUAGGGUUGUAAAGCUCUUUUGUGCGGGAAGAUAAUGACGGUACCGCAAGAAUAAGCCCGGCUAACUUCGUGCCAGCAGCCGC